UUGCAGCAGUGAAGACUGAAGUCCUCUAUUUAUCCACAGUCUAGGUGCGGUGCAGGCAGCCACAUUGCGGGCUUCCAUACCCACCACCCUGGUAAUGAUCUCCACCCUGAUCCGGAGGAACCCUCCUCUCUAGGGGUGAAAAGGUAAUUCAGCCUCCACUCAAGCCUAGACAUUU
rnacentral:sRNA from 1 species